GUGGUGUUAGCCUGAGCUGGGGUAGAGUUGAAAGAGGUAGGUAGUAUUAAGGGAUUGGAGAAGCCUGUUACAUCGCUAGGCGGGGCUUGUGACAUCACUAGUUGCUAGGAGGUAGCAAGUAUCUGAUUACAUUUCUUGGUGGGAAGAGGGGCAUGUUGGGAAGAUGAAGACUGUCUUUUGCACUUCCACAGAAGCUACUUUGGAGGAAAAAUGGGAGGAUGGACAAUCAGGCCUGGCUCAAGACCACUCGAGUCUGUCCCUAAUUGUUUUAUAAACAAUUCAUCUUAGAAGCAUGGACAUUACUAUAAAUAAACAGAGCUACCCCUACCUGCCGAGCAAAGGUAUGGUCAUAUCUGUGUGUGAUGCCUGGAAGUGCUGCAGCCAAAUUGCGACAACAGGAAGAUGAAGCCAGUACUAAGCUCUGUCAAGCAAAGGGAGUAGAAACAGCUACUGAGCCUGUGACUUGACCAGCCAUAAAAUCUGUGUUGCUUUAUGAUUCUCCAUGGGAGAUGAUGAAUGUGUCUACUUUUAAGCAAUUUGAAGCUUGAGUUUUGGUGGCUUCCAGCUGAAAGAAGUUAUCCCAAUGUGAACCAUCCAAAGAAUAGGAAAUAAUCCUUGAAAAAUCUUGCAGAUACCAAAGAGCAUUGUACUUUCUCAGAACUGAGAGAUGAUGAUUUUUUUCACAUGUGUUUUCUGUGCCUUGUACCAAACAAGGUUCUAAUUUGUGCAUCCAGGUUCCUGAUAAGGGAGCCAAGAUUUGAAAUCUGUUCUCUGUAAUAUCAGUCCCUGACCUUAAUCGACAUGUCAUAUGAUCUCUUCAGCUAAGCAACCUUUCCCUGUGUCUGAGUCAUUAGAAACGUCUCUAGGCAAGAUCUUCAAAGGGCCACAAGUUUGAAAAUAAGGUUGUAUGUGUCAGGAGUGUUGAGUCCCAUAUGUUUGCAAAGCAGUUUUCAUUUUACUUCUUCUAAAUUUAAUUUCUCUUUAUGAACCUUUCUUUUUUCUAUCCCUGUGCAGCAGGAGCCACAGGAAGUAGGAAGAGUAGGGCCAUGCAAAAGGCUAGAAAACCAGGCAGUCAAUCAUACCAGAAUCCCAUAAACUGAUCCUGAAGAUGGGAAGAGAUUAUUUCCUUAACAGUAAGUUAGUCAUUCCCAGGCAAGGCAUUUUUUACCACUGAAGGCCCAUUGUGCUUCUGGAGUGAGUUCAUCACAUAAAUGUGGCACCCAGAGGAUCAUCAACAGAGUGCUGAGGAAAGAAAACAGCCUGGCUGUUGAUGCCCUGCAAAUGUGACACCAAGAUCUGCAGAAUCUCCUCUAAACUCAUUAGCACAGCACUUCUCCCAGAAGCAGCUACACUACAGGGCCAAAACUAGUCAGAUUCUAACUGGGGAAAGCUAAUAUCUUCAAUAUGCUCCAGGAUCCAACAUCGCCCCCUUCAAAAUUUUUGCACAUGCUCUUCCAUUGACAUAAAUGCUUGUCUCUCCCUUAAGCCUUGAAAACUCCUGGUCAUCCUUAAAGAGCCAGCUCAGAUGUCACUUCCCUGUGAAGCAUCCUCCAUUUUUCCCAUGGAUGAGGCAGUUGCUUGCUCCUUGGGGCCUUCCCAGAACUUUGCAAAGGCCUUUCCUGCACAACUUUUUCUGUGACAUGUAAAGUGACAUUGUAGUUCUUUGUCUUAGCAGCUGAUUCUGCUCUAGAUUAUGAAGUCCUUUAGGGGAAUGACAUGGGCCAUUCACCUCUAUAAUCCACAGUGCAGGACACUCGAUAUGUUCUCAGUAAAUAGUGUGAAGAAUGAACAUACAUGAGUGUGACAGAGAGAGAAUGAAAUUGGGUGAGUGAGUGCUCUGCCUGAGCAGAGUGAACACAGCAGCAUUGGGUGUUGAAAGAUGUGAACAAGAGCCCAUGUUGGCUGUGGAAGGGAUGAAUAGUGGAUGGAUGAGUGAGCGAAGGAUCCAUGGAAGACAGCUCAAAAGUCUUGUCUUCUGAAAUUUGAAUAGUUUCAUUCCUUUGCUCCUGGGCUGGAGCACCCAUUCCUCACCUGUCACUGCAUGGUUUAGCACAAUAAAGGUGAAGCCAAGUUCUUUCUUU